ensembl:snoRNA
GGCCUCCUGGUGCUUACCACAAGCGUGCACUGACUGUAUAAAAAGAGGACUACAUAGAUAAUAUACUACCCUACGUACACCUCAGCCUAGGCCUUGUGCCUGGUCUGUACUGUGAAUGGGGAAGACAUGG